CAGAAAGAUGGUGAAUUAUGCCUGGUCAGGGUAAAGCCAGAGGAAACUGGUGGAGGUCCAUAGCAGUCCUGACGUGCAAAUCGGUUGUCCAACCUGGGUAUAGGGGCAAAAGACUAAUCAAACCAUCUAGUAGCUG
rnacentral:ncRNA from 1 species